AGUGAACGCUGGCGGCGUGCCUAAUACAUGCAAGUCGAACGGAGUGGCGCACGGGUGAGUAAUGUAUAGCUAAUCUGCCCUACACUAGAGGACAACAGUUGGAAACGACUUCUAAUACUCUAUAGUGUAGGAUGAGGCUAUAUUGUAUCAGCUAGUUGGUGAGGUAAUGGCUCACCAAGGCUAUGACGCAUAACUGGGUUGAGUGGAUGAUGAGUCACCCUGGAACUGAGCCACGGUCAAGACUCCUACGGGAGGGAGCAGUAGGUAAGAUGGCUCAAUGGGGGAAACCCUGAAGCUUGAACGCCGCGUGGAGGAUGACACUUUUAGGAGCGUAAACUCCUUUUGUUAUGGAAGCGGUACCUAACGAGUAAGCACCGGCUAACUCCGUGCCAGCCGCCGCGGUAAUAC
rnacentral:rRNA from 1 species